GGGUUGGCCGCGUCAAAGGUGAAAGCCCAACCGAAAUUGGAACGAUACAGAGAAGAUUAGCAUGGCCCCUGCGCAAGGAUGACACAAAGAAAAGUAUGACAUGUAUUA
rnacentral:snRNA from 1 species